GAUGAACGCUAGCGGCAGGCUUAACACAUGCAAGUCGAGGGGUAUAGUUCUUCGGAGCUAGAGACCGGCGCACGGGUGCGUAACGCGUAUGCAAUCUACCUUUUGCAGAGGGGUAGCCCAGAGAAAUUUGGAUUAAUACCUCAUAGUAUGUGAGAAUGGCAUCAUUUUCACAUUAAAGUCACAACGGCAAAAGAUGAGCAUGCGUCCCAUUAGCUUGUUGGUAGGUAACGGCUUACCAAGGCAACGAUGGGUAGGGGUCCUGAGAGGGAGAUCCCCCACACUGGUACUGAGACACGGACCAGACUCCUACGGGAGGCGGCAGUGAGGAAUAUUGGACAAUGGGCGCAAGCCUGAUCCAGCCAUGCCGCGUGCAGGAUGACGGUCCUAUGGAUUGUAAACUGCUUUUGUACAGGAAGAAACACUGGUUCGUGAACCAGCUUGACGGUACUGUAAGAAUAAGGAUCGGCUAACUCCGUGCCAGCCGCCGCCGUAACAC
rnacentral:rRNA from 1 species